CAAGGUAAGCGGAUAGUUGCUUUUAAUUUUUAGAUUAGAAGAGGAAAGUCCGGACUCCUGUUAAUUUUUAUUAACAAAGUGGUAGUGGGUAACGCCCACCAAGAGCAAUCUUAGGGAAAGUGCCGCAGAGACUAUACUAACCAGUGCAUUGUGCUGGCCAAAGGUGAAAAGUGAAUUGAGGUUUUUCGUUCUCGAGAUGAAAGGCUACAAUUCUCGGCUGUUGGCGACAACAGUUCGUGGUAAACCCUGCCUGGAGCAAGAACAAACCAUCUCUUUCAAGGGGUGAUGAAAAGUGGUUCGCAUGAGCUUGGCGGCAACACCAAGCCAAGAUAAAUAACUAUCGUUCCGCAAGGGAUACAGAAUCCGGCUUAUAGCUUGCCUUGAUAU
rnacentral:RNase_P_RNA from 6 species